UACGGAGGGGGCAAGCGUUGUUCGGAAUUACUGGGCGUAAAGGGCGCGCAGGCGGCUGCUCAAGUCAGGCGUGAAAGGCCUGGGCUCAACCCGGGAAUUGCGCUUGAGACUGGGCUGGCUUGAGUGCGGGAGAGGGUGGCGGAAUUCCCCAAGUAGAGGUGAAAUUCGUAGAUAUGGGGAGGAACACCGGUGGCGAAGGCGGCCACCUGGACGGUAACUGACGCUGAGACGCGAAAGCGUGGGGAGCAAACAGG
rnacentral:rRNA from 1 species